CCAACACGUUGGUGGUGCUAGUCUUAAAAACCGACACCACCUUAUUGCUAUUUUUUAGAAACAACAUCAAGGUUGUACUAUUUUUUUAAAACAAUAUAAAGGUGGUGCUUGUUUUUAAAAAACAUCACAAUGGUUGCUGUAUGUAAUUAAAGGAGAGAGAAUAGAGAAUUUUAUUUUUUUACAUACAGAUAAGAGAGGAAAGAGAUGAAAUUUUGUUAAAUAAAAAUGGGAGGUGGAUAAGAGGACAAGAUAGAUAAGUGGAAUACAAUAAUUUUCAAUACUUGAUUCAAACACGUAGUCAAUUUGUAAACUACUUACACAACUCAUGAAAAAUAACUAACUCCAUAAUUCUAGCCCACUAACUCAACUAUUCUACCCCACUAACACAACUAAUGAAGAUACAUUGAACAUAGACAUUUUUCUUUAACCACUAACACUACUACCACUGAUUGUCAUCUCAUCACCCCCACUAACUCAAAUAUUAAUUUUGAGUCAUUUUAUUAACACUCCCCCUUGAUUCAAAAUUACAAACAUCAAGACAUGAUUUAAAAUAAAUAAAUUUAUCUCUUGGAAGUGACUUCGUUAAGAUAUUUGUCACUUGUUCAUAUGUGCUAUAACAGUCCAAUAUAAUUUCAUUAUUUGCAACUAAGUCUCACAUGGAAAGUUAGAUUUUUUGUCAUUGCAAUUGUUGAUUUAUUAUCACAAAAAAUAAUAGUUGCAUCUUUUUAUUGUUGGUGAAGAUCUGCAAGUAAUCUUCUAACCCAAACUACUUAACAUGUUGCUGAAGUUGUUGUUAUAUAUUCUGCUUAUGAAGAGGAUAAGGUUGUAGUAGAUUGCUUCUUUCAACUCCAUGAAAUUGCUCAUGAUCCAAGAUUAAAAAUACAAGCUGAGGAUCUCCCUCGGUCAUCAUCGGACAACUUGGGAAUUUGUCACUCAUGUAUGAAACCAUCUUCAAGUCUCGUAGGUUAUGUUGGAAGCCUUGGGUCAGCAGCAUUGUGGGCUCCAAAGUUCCUUCAGCAACCAUAUCAUUCCACCAUUCCGAAUGCAACAUCAACUCAUUUAGACAUUGAUUCUCCGGUACUCGAAAUUUGUAAGAUCUUGCAACUCUGGCAACAUGACAUUCCCAAGACCAUCGAUAGCAUCAUAUCCCCAUAGCACUUCCAGAUUUAUCAAUUGCCUAAUUCCAAUAGGCAUUAUAGUCAAUGAUGCGCAUCCAUGCAUCUCAAGCUGCAUCAAGUUCUUCAUGUCGCUCAAGUCAUCAGGCAGCAUGAGAGUUUCAAAAUCUGUAAAUUUCUGAGCUUGUGGAUUUGUCUUGGAAGCUCCUUAAGUUUUUUGCAACUAGAUAAAUUUAGAACACACAAAUAAUGGAGGUUGCAGAGGGAUUCUGGUAGUGUUUCUAUCUUGUUCUCCGCAAGGUUGAGGCACCUCAAGCAAUGCAAUGUGUCAACCGAACUAGGGACUUCUUGAAUCAUGAUACCUCUCAUAUGUAACGUACAUAAAUGUUUGAGAUUUACAAAUAUACUUUCAAGUAUCUUUGUUCCGGUAUGAUAAAUA